rnacentral:rRNA from 1 species
UACGGAGGAUCCGAGUGUUAUCCGGAUUUAUUGGGUUUAAAGGGAGCGUAGAUGGAUGUUUAAGUCAGUUGUGAAAGUUUGCGGCUCAACCGUAAAAUUGCAGUUGAUACUGGAUGUCUUGAGUGCAGUUGAGGCAGGCGGAAUUCGUGGUGUAGCGGUGAAAUGCUUAGAUAUCACGAAGAACUCCGAUUGCGAAGGCAGCCUGCUAAGCUGCAACUGACAUUGAGGCUCGAAAGUGUGGGUAUCAAACAGG